UACGGGGGGGGCAAGCGUUGUUCGGAAUUACUGGGCGUAAAGGGCUCGUAGGUGGCCAACUAAGUCAGACGUGAAAUCCCUCGGCUUAACCGGGGAACUGCGUCUGAUACUGGAUGGCUUGAGUUUGGGAGAGGGACGCGGAAUUCCAGGUGUAGCGGUGAAAUGCGUAGAUAUCUGGAGGAACACCGGUGGCGAAGGCGGCAUCCUGGACCGAGAUUGACGCUGAUGCGCGAAAGCCAGGGGAGCAAACGGG
rnacentral:rRNA from 1 species